UGGAGGCGCUGCUGGAAUUCCUGGAUGAGGAUGAGGAUGGGUAUCGUGACAGGAGCCUGGCCCUGAGCUCCCUGCAGAGCUUCAAGGACAUGGGGGUGCUGGAGGAGCUGCAGACCCCCACUGGACCCCUCCUCCAGCUCUCCCAGCCUUUCCAGUCUGCUUCCAACCGGGAGAAGUUGAGAGCCUUCAUUCACCAGUUCACCCAGUUGUAACCCCCCACACCAGAGUCAUAAAUGGGCCCAGGGACCUGAUGCCUCGUGGAUUUAUUGAUCCGGGGGGGUGGGAGGUUCUGUCUCUCCUUCCCUCACCUGGGAU